rfam:Rhizobium etli CFN 42, complete genome.
GAAGAUCGCAAUGGUUCUUGUCGUGGUGAUAAAGCGCAUGGGCAGGAUGGUGUAACCAUCCGGCGAUCAGCCCAAUGCGCUGUAGAUCAAGCUCCUGACGGGGCUUUUUUUGUGCCCCGAA